rnacentral:rRNA from 1 species
AGCAUAUCAAUAAGCGGAGGAAAAGAAACCAACAGGGAUUGCCUUAGUAACGGCGAGUGAAGCGGCAACAGCUCAAAUUUGAAAGCUGGCCCUUUCAGGGUCCGCGUUGUAAUUUGUAGAGGAUGAUUCGGCGAGGGCUCCCGCCUAAGUCCCCUGGAACGGGGCGUCAUAGAGGGUGAGAAUCCCGUAUGCGGUGGGCUGCCUUAGCCAUGUGAAUCUCCUUCGACGAGUCGAGUUGUUUGGGAAUGCAGCUCUAAAUGGGAGGUAAAUUUCUUCUAAAGCUAAAUACCGGCCAGAGACCGAUAGCGCACAAGUAGAGUGAUCGAAAGAUGAAAAGCACUUUGGAAAGAGAGUUAAAAAGUACGUGAAAUUGUUGAAAGGGAAGCGCUUGCAACCAGACUUGUCCGCAGUUGCUCAGCCGGUCUCCUGACCGGCGUACUCUUCUGCGGCCAGGCCAGCAUCAGUUCGGGCGGUCGGAUAAAGACCUCGGGAAUGUAGCUCCUCUCGGGGAGUGUUAUAGCCCGGGGUGGAAUGCGGCCAGCCUGGACUGAGGAUCUCGCUUCGGCAAGGAUGCUGGCGUAAUGG